rnacentral:lncRNA from 1 species
AUUUUGAUGAAUAUAAAUAUUAAGAAUUUGUAUAUUAAAUUAUCGUCAAAAUAAUAAAAAGUGGAGUAAAACCGAUAAUUAAUAUGAAUUUAACUUAAUAUGAAUUGAAUUUACAUACCGGUUAAAGCACUUUGAAAAUUUUAAUUUCCCCAAAAUGAUGAUUUUCAAUCGUCUCCAUUCUCAAAGAAAAUUUUCAAACAAAUUUAAUUUCCAAUUACCUUUCCUCAAAACGAUUUUAAACAAAUAAAUUUCAAGCACCAAAAAUCGUCUAAACAUGUAAUGCAAU